CGAUCAACGUGGAGGAGGGUGGGGAUGACGUCAAGUCAGCACGGCCCUUACGUCNUGGGCGACACACACGNUACAAUGGUCGGUACAAUGAGACGCCAACCCGCGAGGGGGAGCCAAUCGAGCAAAACCGGUCUCAGUUCGGAUUGGAGGCUGCAACCCGCCUCCAUGAAGUUGGAGUUGCUAGUAACCGUGGGUCAGCACACCACGGUGAAUACGUUUCCCGGGUNUUGUACACACCGCCCGUCACACCACGAAAGUCGGCAA
rnacentral:rRNA from 1 species